rnacentral:rRNA from 1 species
UUAAAUUGAAGAGUUUGAUCAUGGCUCAGAUUGAACGCUGGCGGCAGGCCUAACACAUGCAAGUCGAACGGUAACAGGAAGCAGCUUGCUGCUUCGCUGACGAGUGGCGGACGGGUGAGUAAUGUCUGGGAAACUGCCUGAUGGAGGGGGAUAACUACUGGAAACGGUAGCUAAUACCGCAUAAUGUCGCAAGACCAAAGAGGGGGACCCUCGGGCCUCUUGCCAUCGGAUGUGCCCAGAUGGGAUUAGCUUGUUGGUGGGGUAACGGCUCACCAAGGCGACGAUCCCUAGCUGGUCUGAGAGGAUGACCAGCCACACUGGAACUGAGACACGGUCCAGACUCCUACGGGAGGCAGCAGUGGGGAAUAUUGCACAAUGGGCGCAAGCCUGAUGCAGCCAUGCCGCGUGUAUGAAGAAGGCCUUCGGGUUGUAAAGUACUUUCAGCGGGGAGGAAGGGAGUAAAGUUAAUACCUUUGCUCAUUGACGUUACCCGCAGAAGAAGCACCGGCUAACUC